CUUUGGGAGCAAAAGUACUAAAAAAGUGUAAUGAUACAAAUUAGCAUUGUCCCUGCACAAGGAAGACAUACAAAUUCAUGAAUUGUUCCGUAAAAAU
ensembl:snRNA U6 U6 spliceosomal RNA